rnacentral:rRNA from 1 species
GACGAACGCUGGCGGCGUGCUUAACACAUGCAAGUCGAACGGUGAAGCGCUUGCCUUUUUGGUGGGUGUGGAUGAGUGGCGAACGGGUGAGUAACACGUGAGUAACCUGCCCUCUUCUUCUGGAUAACCUCAUGAAAGUGGGGCUAAUACGGGGUAUUCCGGGUCUGUCGCAUGGCGGGUUUGGGAAAGAUUGCGCCUUUGGGUGUUUUCGGUGGGGGAUGGGCUCGCGGCCUAUCAGCUUGUUGGUGGGGUGAUGGCCUACCAAGGCGGUGACGGGUAGCCGGCCUGAGAGGGUGGACGGCCACACUGGGACUGAGACACGGCCCAGACUCCUGCGGGAGGCAGCAGUGGGGAAUAUGGCACAAGGGGCGCAAGCCGGAUGCAGCGACGCCGCGUGAGGGAGGGAGGCCGUCGGGUGGGGAACCUCUUUCGCCAGGGAAGCAGGCCUGCUCCUGUGUGGGUGGGUUGACGGUAGCUGGAUAAGAAGCGCCGGCUAACUACGUG